rnacentral:rRNA from 1 species
UACAGAGGUCUCAAGCGUUGUUCGGAUUCAUUGGGCGUAAAGGGUGCGUAGGCGGCGCGGUAAGUCGGGUGUGAAAUCUCGGAGCUUAACUCCGAAACUGCAUUCGAUACUGCCGUGCUUGAGGACUGGAGAGGAGACUGGAAUUUACGGUGUAGCGGUGAAAUGUGUAGAUAUCGUAAGGAAGACCAGUGGUGAAGGCGGGUCUCUGGACAGUUCCUGACGCUGAGGCACGAAGGUCAGGGGAGCAAACGGG